rnacentral:rRNA from 1 species
CAGUCGCCACGGGAAUACGAAGGGGGCUAGCGUUGCUCGGAAUGACUGGGCGUAAAGGGCGCGUAGGCGGAUGGCACAGUCAGAUGUGAAAUUCCCGGGCUUAACCUGGGGGCUGCAUUUGAUACGUGUUGUCUAGAGUGAGGAAGAGGGUCGUGGAAUUCCCAGUGUAGAGGUGAAAUUCGUAGAUAUUGGGAAGAACACCGGUGGCGAAGGCGGCGACCUGGUCCUUUACUGACGCUGAGGCGCGAAAGCGUGGGGAGCAAACAGGAUUAGAUACCCCCGUAGUCCCUGUCUCUUAUAC